rnacentral:lncRNA from 1 species
AGAGAUAGGAUUUCUUAUUUUAGAGUUGAUUUGUGUGAUAAAGAUGAACAAUUUUUUGCAUUUCUUAAACGAAAGAUAUCUUUUUGCUGUGAAAGAGCACUUGACUGAUGCUAAUAUUUGAUUAUUUUUUUCUUACAAAUCUUUGUUAUACCUUUAAGAAAUGAUAUUGCCUGCUGGAACAUUCAUGCUGAAUUAAUGUGGUUAUAAUUGUGACUGCAUCUUUAUACACUUUUUUAGUAGGGUUAUAGUGUAUAUUUUUAGCACACUUACCAUAAAUGGAGCAGUGCACUUACUAUGGAAUAUCUGUUUUUAGUACUUCCACAUAGAAUUUGGAGCAUACGAUAUUUUGGCACUGAGAGCCUUGAUGAUCUUGGCUAUUCUCUCAAGGUCAUCAUGUAUGGCAAUACACUAAUGUUUCUUCAAGGGUCAAUUUUGUUAUAUUUAUAGUUUAUCCACGACCGAAGCUUUAUGUGACAGCAAUUCCCGUCAUUCUUCUUCAUUAUGAGGAGAAGUCAACCAUUAUUAACUUAUCGAUAUCCAGUUCAGCAACUGGCCUGGAGUGCCAUUUAUAAGGAUGCUACAAACCUGGAAGUUAAAUCUUUCCC